CGGACCGGCGCACGGGUGAGUAACACGUAUGGAACCUGCCCUAUGCAGGGGGAUAAGCGGAAGAAAUUCCGUCUAAUACCGCAUAACACCAUUUGGAGACAUCUCCAGGGGGUCAAAGGAGGCGACUCCGGCAUAGGAUGGCCAUGCGUCGCAUUAGCUAGUCGGCGGGGUAACGGCCCACCGAGGCGACGAUGCGUAGGGGUUCUGAGAGGAAGGUCCCCCACACUGGUACUGAGACACGGACCAGACUCCUACGGGAGGCAGCAG
rnacentral:rRNA from 1 species